UUUGAGGAGAGAGAGAGAAAUUCAUUUGCUGCCAGUGGAGGUGACAUUUAUAUCAACAUCUUAUUCUGGAAAUAGCACCCCUCACAAUCUGAGGCACCAAACACAGAUGGAAUGAGAGAUGGAUGAAGGAUUGUGGAUCAUUACACAUUCACCCCUAUUCCUGGGCGAAUGACUGAAGGCUAUGAAGUUUCAGUUACCAAGAAUGCCCUGUUGAUAGAGGAAAAAAGAAGAGGAUUGUUUUGCUUCUUCAAGAAAUGCAUUGAAUUUGGAGGGUGAUGAUGGAAAUUACAUUUUGUUGGUGAGAAACUUGAGGAGUGAAGAUGUGAAGCAACUUAUACAAAACCCCACUCAGUUGGCUAGUGAGAUCCCCUCUGUAACAGCCACUUUCAUAAAUCUCUUGGUCCUGGCUGGGUGUGGAGUCAUUACUGGCCCCGAACUUCUUUCAUUGGUGCCGUGACUUGGAUCGGGUGCUCCCUUGCCCUUGUGCGGGUGUAUUCCCAUAGGCGGGAUCCCCGACCCGGCGCCAGUGGCCACUCCAGCCCUCCUGGAGCUUCGCCACCAUUUUGAACGUGUGACCUGCAUCCACCAGCGACCAUUGGAUAGUCUACUCCAGGACAGCUGGUUACUACCAUCCCC